rnacentral:lncRNA from 1 species
AUCCAGCUUUUGCUUUUGCUUUCUUUUGUAUUUUAUUUAAGUUAAUCAAGUUUUGCUUCAUGUCUUUUGUAGGAAUUUAAAGAUAAUAUUGACUAAGUUGGGGGGAGAACCAAUUUUGAGAAGACUUCUGGAUCAGGUGACAUCUCUUCUUUUUUUUUUUUUUUUAUAUGCACCCUUCAUUUUUCUUACUCCAUUAUAGAC